GUGCACGUGACCCACAUAGCAGCUCCGUUUUUCUUUAAGUGUGACGUCAUUCAGUCGCUGGGGGGUUCGCUUGAGCGCGGGCACGUGCGCUGCUUUACCGUCCGAAGGCACGACGUUCCAUCAGCACCGACAUCCUCCUUUAAGGCUGACGUCGUUUCCCUGAGUCACCGCGGGGCAGCGGCGCUCUGCGGCAGCUCGUCUUCACCUCAACGGCCCUCCGGCUCCUGAUGACCCACGUGGGUCCGAGCUGCCGCGACAUGACAGGUGAGAGGAACACACCUUCUCUCGGCGUAUUCCCGGUAAAUGCACGCACGCAGUUCCUACCGGACAGGCUGGCUGUUGAUGUGACUUCCUGGUAGCAAAGCUUUAGCCCCGCCUCCCGCACCGCUGACCACCAGUAGGAACUCAUCUCCCGCUCAAUCCCCGACCAAUCACAGCAGCCCUCCAGAGAAGGAGGAGGUGCUGCGGGACAAGGAGCGCCGCGCCCAGCAGCAGCUGGACCGCUGCGCCGAGGAGCGAGGGAGGAAGAUGGAGGUGCAGAAGAGGAAGGAGCAGCAGCGCCGGGCGGCCGCCGGCGAGAAGAGGCGCCAGCAGCAGGAGGCCGAGAAGGAGAGGCUGGAGGCCCUGGUCCGCCGGAGAGCAGGAGGCGCCGAGAGACGAGGAGGAGGAGGGGGAGGAGGAGGGGGAGGAGGAGG
ensembl:lncRNA